rnacentral:rRNA from 1 species
UGGGGAAUCUUCCGCAAUGGACGAAAGUCUGACGGAGCAACGCCGCGUGAGUGAAGAAGGUUUUCGGAUCGUAAAACUCUGUCUUUUGGGGCGAACGUGAGUAUGGUGAACAAUCAUAGUCAGUGACGGUACCAAAGGAGGAAGCCACGGCUAACUACGUGCCAGCAGCCGCGGUAAUACGUAGGUGGCAAGCGUUGUCCGGAAUUAUUGGGCGUAAAGAGCGCGUAGGCGGGAUAGUCAGUCUGUUGUAAAAGUGCGGGGCUCAACCCCGUGAUCGCAAUGGAAACAGCUAUUCUUGAGUGCAGGAGAGGAAAGUGGAAUUCCCAGUGUAGCGGUGAAAUGCGUAGAUAUUGGGAGGAACACCAGUGGCGAAGGCGACUUUCUGGACUGUGUCUGACGCUGAGGCGCGAAAGCCAGGGGGAGCGAACGGGAUUAGAUACCCCGGUAGUCCUGGCCGUAAACGAUGGGUACUAGGUGUGGGAGGUAUCGACCCCCUUCCGUGCCGGAGUUAACGCAAUAAGUACCCCGCCUGGGGAGUACGGUCGCAAGACUGAAACUUAAAUGAAUUGACGGGGUCAUAGCUGUUUCC